ACAUGAAAAAAUAAAAUUACAACAAUAACCCUCUCUAUUUUAAUAUUAAAUGUUCAUCAGACCGAUGUAUUUUAUCUUAUCAUCUCGUCUCUUAUUUACCAACGUACAAUAUUCCACUAAGAGUAAAAUAUAAAAAGAACUACACAAUAUAACGCAAUAACCAUAUGACGGGUAACGACAAAAUUAUUAAAUAAAAUUCAAAACGUUUACCUCCUGACAUUCAGUCUCGACACAACAUCCAAACAUAACUGUGUAAUAAAACUAACAUUCAAAUGUUUCUAAAGGAGAAUUUUAUACACAACUAGCUAUAAUCUACAAAGCCAUAAGUAUAAAAAUAACUUUUAUUCUUAUGCAAUGAGGAUUUAUUAACGAUUGGUCUUCGUCAUAUCAGACUAAAUUGACAGACGAUAAAUCAGUUGAGAAAGCAUCUUGGAUAGCAUCAAUUCUAAAUCUAGGACGUGAAUUUAAAGCCGUCACAGGUGCGGUACUUGUGCAUAUAAUUAUGGAAGCAAGAUGAGUCUUGUACUUACUUGUGCUUACCCAUCUCAUAAUGUUAUGUUAUAAAUGAGCAAGAAACAAGUUUGUCACACAGUGAUGGGUAUUAAAUUUUAAUACAAAUAACGUAAGCGUUAAAUUUGCUUUCACUGAAGUUAGUCAAGAAUUUUGCAGUAUUUGUUUUCGAUUAAAACGUUUAACUGCAUUGAAUUUCAUAUAACGAGUUGGUGAGUUCCAAUUUGUGUUAAAAAUGACUUGAAUAGUCGGUAAUACAAUGAUGACAGUAAUUUACAAGAUCGAUGGUAAUCAAUAAUUUGAAUAAUUGAAAUACUCUUUAUAUUAUUUGAUACACUCGAGAUACCUUUCAUAUUUGUGAAUUACAAUUUUUAUUGAAACGACGGUCUUUGUAUUGGCCAAUUAUCACAAUUAUAUAUUAUUUCAAAUAAAUGAUAUAGUGUAAAUGAUGAUAUUUUUCUUCUGGAAAUGAAAUGUAUUGCAGUCUGUAUCAAUAAUGUUACAUCAACAAUAAUUGUUUUGAUGUCUAAAACAUUUCCGACGUUGUUAUAGAUUUAUAAUCAGAUAAAAUAUAUGUCUAGUGUCUAUUGGAUUUAUAAUUUAAUACUAUUGUGAGUGAUAUGCUAUAGAAUUGCACUCAUGUAUAUUUAAUAAACAUUGUCCAGAAUAAAUUCAAAGUAAAUAAAUCAAAUUUUUUUUUUGAGGCUAAAUAUGAUGUGCCCAUAAUUUCAAACAGUACCAGUACUAUUGUUGAAUGAACUCAAUCAAUAUUUCAGCCACAAAAGCUCGCAUCAA